rnacentral:rRNA from 1 species
AACGAACGCUGGCGGCGCGUCUUAAGCAUGCAAGUCGAGCGGUAAGUUGUAGCUUGCUACAACCUAGAGCGGCGGACUGGUGAGUAACGCGUGGGUGACGUACCUUUGUGACGGGGACAGCUGGUGAAAAUAUCAGAUAAUACCGGAUACGCUGCAUGUUGUCAGAGGACAUGCAGGAAAGGUCUUUUGAACCGCACAGAGAGCGGCCCGCGUACUAUUAGCUAGUUGGUGAGGUAACGGCCCACCAAGGCGACGAUAGUUACCCGGCCUAAGAGGGUGAUCGGGCACAUUGGGACUGAGAUACGGCCCAGACUCCUACGGGAGGCAGCAGCUAAGAAUAUUCCGCAAUGGACGAAAGUCUGACGGAGCGACGCCGCGUGGAUGAUGAAGGGCCCGGAAGGUUGUAAAAUCCUUUUAUGACUGAGGAAUAAGUGAAGUGAGAGAAACGCUUCAUGGUGACUGUAGGUCAUGAAUAAGCAACGGCUAAUUACGUGCCAGCCGCCGC